rnacentral:rRNA from 1 species
UACGGGGGGGGCAAGCGUUGUUCGGAAUUACUGGGCGUAAAGGGUUCGUAGGUGGCUCGCUAAGUCAGACAUGAAAUCCCUCAGCUUAACUGGGGAACUGCGUCUGAGACUGAUGAGCUCGAGUGCAGGAGAGGAACGCGGAAUUCCUGGUGUAGCGGUGAAAUGCGCAGAUAUCAGGAGGAACACCGGUGGCGAAGGCGGGUCUCUGGGCCGAAACUGACGCUGAGGAGCGAAAGCGUGGGGAGCAAACAGG